UAAUAAGCGACAGAAAUUCGCGAAAGGCAACUGUGGGAGCCUGGGAGGGGGUAAGGUCAAGGCUGAAGUUAAGGGAGCUCUUCUCGCUUUUGGAUUCGGACCGAACCCUAGCUCUACAUCGCAACCAUGUCGUCCAAGCAAGGUGGAAAGGCCAAGCCUUUGAAGAAACCCAAGUCUGAUCAGAAAGACUACGACGAGGUCGAUUUGGCUAACAUUCAGAAGAAAAAGGAAGAGGAAAAGGCACUAAGGGAGCUGAAAGCCAAGGCACAACAGAAGGGGGCCUUUGGAGGUUCUGGGCUGAAGAAGAGUGGAAAGAAAUGAGGACUUACCCUUUAAUGGGACAUAUAGUUAUUGAGCUGUAACUAAAUAUAUAUGUUGCUUUGAGAGAAUCUCUGAUUAAUGUGGUCUGUGCACUGGAUACUUUCUUGCUUGUAUUUGGGAACCUAACUGCGUUGUGUCACGAGCGCAAUAAAUUGCUUGUUUGCAGCUUUCCUCUAAGACUUUCUUGUUACUUGAUUGUUGUGAAAUGUCUUUGGCAACGUUGGAUGGACAUGGAUUGUGACAAUUAAGGAAUAUAUCUCCCCUUUAAGACU